rnacentral:rRNA from 1 species
UAAGUCCCGCAACGAGCGCAACCCUUAAGCUUAGUUGCCAGCAUUAAGUUGGGCACUCUAAGUUGACUGCCGGUGACAAACCGGAGGAAGGUGGGGAUGACGUCAAAUCAUCAUGCCCCUUAUGAUUUGGGCUACACACGUGCUACAAUGGACAAUACAAAGGGCAGCUAAACCGCGAGGUCAUGCAAAUCCCAUAAAGUUGUUCUCAGUUCGGAUUGUAGUCUGCAACUCGACUACAUGAAGCUGGAAUCGCUAGUAAUCGUAGAUCAGCAUGCUACGGUGAAUACGUUCCCGGGUCUU